GUGUUUACUUCUUUCUGCAGCACGUAUACUAAAAUUGAAACGAUACAAAGAAGGUUAACAUGGCCCCUGCGCAAGGAUGACAUGCAAAUUAGUGAAGUGUUCCAUAUUAAA
rfam:Erinaceus europaeus unplaced genomic scaffold scaffold00821, whole genome shotgun sequence